CAACUAUCCACAAAAGACCAAAAUGACACAAACAUUAACAACUAUAGGUCACCGUACGGCCUUCAACAAUGAGCAAAGCCCAUACCGCAUAAUCAGCUAUAAUAGGCCCGAUAGGACAAUGUAAAACAAUUCAAACGAGAAAACUAACGGCCUUAUUUAUGUAAAACAAUGAACAACGAAAAACAAAUAUGUAACACAUAAACAAACG
rnacentral:lncRNA from 1 species